rnacentral:tRNA from 1 species
AAGAAAUUAGCUCAAUAGGUAGAGCAUCCAUUUUAUAAGAGGAAGGUUAAGUGUUCGAAUCACUUAUUUUUUU